AGGCAGCAAAUCGAAAAAAGAUGGCUGCAAAGGUGUUGUCCACAUUCCGGCAGAUGGGGCUCCAUAGCCCAUGGGCUGAAGAGCACUGUCCUGUAUUCCAUUGCUGCUACAGGAUAACACAGCGCCAGAAGCCAGAAGUAUCCCCUCUCCGCAGCCAUGAUGGGAACUCGAAACCAAUUCAGUGCGCAGGAAAGAAAGUGUAUUACAACACUAGAGUGGCUCCCACCCCUAUGACUCCACUGAGGUCAGCCAGAGAAAAGGUGAUGCGAAAGGCUGGGACAGCCGCUGCCGGUCCAUACAGACAAUGCCGACCAUGAUCUAAUUCAAGAUCAGGCAGGUUCAUGCGCACCAAAUGGUACAUCGUGGCACAGUAAGGCAUGGUCAGUUUCAAAACAUCAUCGAGUCCCUCUGUGUAUCCAAAGAACCACCUGCUCCCAUAUAAAUGUACUUCAACAUUAAGGUUUUCAACAGAGUGCCAACUACUGAGGACUGGAUUUAUAAAUUGCUGUACAUGGCGGAAAUGGACAAAAUGACAAGGAAACUGAGAGACCUUGAUCCAGGACAGUUUAACACGGAUUGGGAGAAGCUGAAACAAUAUUUAGUGAAGAAAUGGGAGGAGAACUGUGGCAGUUUGAAAAUUACUGAAAUACAAUAAAAGUAGAGGGAGGUGACUUUACCGGGGGGCGGAGAGUUAAAUGAGAAUUUCUAAGCAAUCAUUUUAUUAGACUAUUAUAUAUAGCAUUAAGUAUUAUAGGUGUUAUUAUAAGAAUUAUAAUGAUAGAAAUUAACUAACUAUAAGGAUAGAAACUAAUUUCAUUUCUGGCAAUAAUCGUAUAAUGGAGAUAAUUUUAUAAUUGCAAUGAAGAAAUUUAAGCAAGGUGGGAAAAUAUAUAUUAAUGUAUAGAUCAUGUAUUAAAUUGAUUGACGUAGUUUGGAGGUAUAUAUGGGUCAAAUUGGUUGACUAUUUUUGGUGGAUAGUUGCAUAAUGGAAGAAUUAUAUAAUUAUAUAAUUAAAACAGUACGAAGAUAAGAUAUGUAGAAAAAGUAAUAUAUAGAGUAUAAGUUAAAUUGGUUGACUUAUAUUGAAUGUACUGUUUAUAGAAGUAUCUAAAAUUAUGCUAAAUGAGGGAUAAAUUGUUUGUCCCAUAUUGAAGAUGAGAUUAUAAGAUAGAGUAUAGAGUACCAAAAUUAGCUAAAUGAUUAUUAUUAAAAGAAAAUAUGCCAAGAAUGUAUUAUUUAGUUAUGCAUUAUUUAGUUGUUAAAGUAAGUAGGAAGACAGAAGGAGCACUGUGUUAUA